UACGUAGGGCGCAAGCGUUGUCCGGAAUUAUUGGGCGUAAAGAGCUCGUAGGCGGUUUGUCGCGUCUGGUGUGAAAACUCAAGGCUUAACCUUGAGCUUGCAUCGGGUACGGGCAGACUAGAGUGUGGUAGGGGAGACUGGAAUUCCUGGUGUAGCGGUGAAAUGCGCAGAUAUCAGGAGGAACACCGAUGGCGAAGGCAGGUCUCUGGGCCACUACUGACGCUGAGAAGCGAAAGCAUGGGGAGCGAACAGGAUUAGAUA
rnacentral:rRNA from 1 species